UAGGGAAUUGUUCGCAAUGGGCGCAAGCCUGACGACGCAACGCCGCGUGGAGGAUGAAGGUCUUCGGAUUGUAAACUCCUGUCGUGUGGGACGAACAUUCCUCGGGCUAAUCACCGAGGGACUGACGGUACCACGAAAGGAAGCCCCGGCUAACUCUGUGCCAGCAGCCGCGGUAAUACAGAGGGGGCGAGCGUUGUUCGGAAUUACUGGGCGUAAAGGGCGCGUAGGCGGCCUGCUAAGUCGGACGUGAAAUCCCUCGGCUCAACCGGGGAACUGCGUCCGAUACUGGCGGGCUUGAAUUCGGGAGAGGGAUGCGGAAUUCCAGGUGUAGCGGUGAAAUGCGUAGAUAUCUGGAGGAACACCGGUGGCGAAGGCGGCAUCCUGGACCGAGAUUGACGCUGAUGCGCGAAAGCCAGGGGAGCAAACGGGAUUAGAUACCCGUGUAGUCC
rnacentral:rRNA from 1 species